GGCAUAGUAGAGGCAAAUGCUCCACAGGAUUAUAACUGGAAUGGAUAUAAACUGCUUUUUCAAGUUGUGAGGGAGCAUAAACUCAAAAUAAAGGUUGUGAUGUCUUUCCACGAAUGUGGAGGUAACAUUGGUGAUGAUGUUUGCAUUCCACUGCCUCACUGGGUCUCCGAAGUCGGUCGAAGCAAUCCUGAUAUAUACUUUACAGACAGAGCAGGACGACGGAACCCUGAAUGUCUCUCAUGGGGAAUAGACAAAGAACGAGUUUUGCGAGGCCGCACUGCUGUAGAGGUCUACUUUGAUUAUAUGAGAAGCUUUCGAGUUGAAUUUGAUGAGUUCUUUGAAGAUGGUAUUAUUUCCAUGGUUGAAGUUGGACUAGGACCAUGUGGGGAGCUAAGAUAUCCCUCUAAUCCUGUAAAGCAUGGGUGGAGGUAUCCUGGAGUUGGUGAAUUCCAGUGUUAUGACCAGUAUCUGCUGAAAAACCUGCGGAAGGCAGCUGAAGCAAGAGGACACUCAUUCUGGGCACGAGGACCCGAUAAUGCUGGUUCUUACAAUUCACGGCCACAAGAGACUGGAUUUUUUUGUGACGGGGGUGAUUAUGAUGGGUAUUAUGGUAGGUUUUUCCUGAAUUGGUACUCUCAUGUUCUGAUUGACCAUGCAGAUCGCGUGCUUUCUUUGGCCAAGUUAGCUUUUGAUGGGACAUGCAUUGCUGCAAAGCUAUCAGGAAUUCAUUGGUGGUAUAAGACAGCUAGCCAUGCUGCUGAAUUAACAGCUGGUUUUUAUAACCCGAGCAAUCGAGAUGGUUAUGUUGUGAUUGCUGCAAUGCUGAAGAAGCAUGGAGCUGCAUUGAACUUCAAGUGUGCUGAAAUGAGGAUGUUAGAGGAGCCAGUGGACUUCUGUGACGCACUAGGUGAUCCUGAAGGAUUAGCCUGGCAAGUGCUGAAUGCGGCUUGGGAUGUUUCUCUGCCAGUUUGCAGUGAAAACGCACUUCUGUGUCAUGAUAGAGGAGGCUACAAUUGUUUGCUGGAAAAAGCGAAACCCCUGAAUGAUCCGGAUGGGAAACAUAUUUUUGCUUUUACCUACCUUAGGCUCAGUCCCCUUCUCAUGGACGGACAGAACUACAUGGAAUUUGAACGAUUUGUUAAGCGAAUGCAUGGGGAAGCAGUCCUUGAGUUCCCAUCGUAGUUUGGGAGAGCAAGCAAAGUUUCAUCUUCCUUUGGGAAAGCAGGAUUAUAUUUAUUUUUAUAGUAUAAUGCAGAUCUAAUUCAAGAGACCAGGCAAUCUUCAGCUCGUGCACAUGUGUGGUUAUAUUUCGUUAGUACAGUGUAAGGAUACACUUCUGAAGGAAAUAUGAUGAAGCCGCAGUGCUAUCUGUGUAUCCUCUGGUUUGGUGUUGUAGCUCGACGUGACCUAAGAUAUAUUACUCGUGUUGAAGAUGACCACAUACCGUCUUGUAGAAAGCAAAACUAGCUUAAGUUGCUGGAAGGAUGGGAUUACUAGUAAGAAGUAAUGAAGAAACUAGAUCUUAAAACAGUGAUGUACUUGUCAUAUGGAUUAUUCAAUCCGAUAGCAAGGUGUAAGAAUUAUGUUACAUGUGCCUUCAA
rnacentral:misc_RNA from 1 species